UAUAAUGCAUGAUUCUCUGUUUUUAGAACGCUUGAAAGAAAGCAUACUCAAUCGUUUCUUCUUCUUAGGCAGACUUUCACUGUUUCGAGACUUCCUCUCCUCGUUACUGAUGGUGAUGGAAGUCUUCUCAAAAACAUCUUCUUUUCCAACGUCUUGCACAAAGGUAGACGCUAGAUGAUGAUUCUUGUAAGCUGCCGCUUUCGCCCAUUCGUUAGCAAGCUCGGGAUUGGGAUAGAUGACAUCGUCAACUCCAUUCAAAUAAAACUGGGAAAGUUUCCACAUAGCUUCAGGAUUCCUCUUCCUCGCUAAUCGUCGAUACCACACAAAGCUCCGAACAAGAUUAAUGUCACAUUCCAGUUGACCAAGCUCAAAACAUCGAGCCACACGAAGCUGUGCAUCUUUCAAUCCAUACUUGGCAGCUAUGUGAUACAAAACAAAAGCCUUUCUUGGGCUCAACUCUAAUAAUCCAUCUAAAUACGAAGAGCCGUGCUCAUACAGCUCCGCUAAGUCAUAAAGGGCCUGAGGAAAUUCAUGAUCAGCCUCAAGAGCUCCCAAAUUCAAAUAGUACAUAGCUUUCACUGGAUCACGCUUAACUGACAUCAAACCACGGAAAUAGAUGAGGGCCAUUCUAUGCAUGGCACCAACGUGUUGUCCAGACGCUGCUCUAAAGAAAUAAUGAAUAGCUUCUUCAGUGUUCUGGGUCACACCAAAUCCCAUCUGCAGACAUAUGGCAACCCUAUAGGCAGCCUGCACGUGAUUCAAGUCGGCCGCCAUUUUAUACAGUCGAUAUGCUUCCUUCUCAUUAAUUUCCGUUCUCAAUGCACCGGUUCCAUAGCAUACAGCCAACAGAUAAAGUGCUUCUGAAUAGCCAAAAAAAGAAUUUCCUUGAGAUACAAACGAAG